rnacentral:rRNA from 1 species
AACGCGAAGAACCUUACCUGGGUUUGACAUGCAGGGAAAAGCCACAGAGAUGUGGUGUCCUACGGGGCCUUGCACAGGUGGUGCAUGGCUGUCGUCAGCUCGUGUCGUGAGAUGUUGGGUUAAGUCCCGCAACGAGCGCAACCCUUGUCCUGUGUUGCCAGCGGAUAACGCCGGGGACUCGCAGGAGACUGCCGGGGUCAACUCGGAGGAAGGUGGGGAUGACGUCAAGUCUUCAUGCCCCUUACAUCCAGGGCUGCAAACAUGCUACAAUGGCCGGUACAAAGGGCUGCGAACUCGCGAGAGCAAGCGAAUCCCAAAAAGCCGGUCUCAGUUCGGAUUGGAGUCUGCAACUCGACUCCAUGAAGUCGGAGUCGCUAGUAAUCCCGGAUCAGCAACGCCGGGGUGAAUACGUUCCCGGGCCUUGUACACACCG